rnacentral:rRNA from 1 species
AAGCCAUGCAUGUCUCAGUGCAAGCCGUCUAGUACGGUGAAACCGCGAAAGGCUCAUUAAAUCAGUUAUGGUUCCUUAGAUCGUACCAAAGUUACUUGGAUAACUGUGGUAAUUCUAGAGCUAAUACAUGCCGACAGAGUUCCGACCAAGUGCACGGCUUCGGCCGUGCAUUCGGAAGGAACGCUUUUAUUAGAUCAAAACCGGCUAGACGGUCGUUUCGCUUCGGCGACUCGGCUCGUCAACGGCCCGCGCAAAGACUUGGUGACUCUGAAUAACUUUGAGCUGAUCGCACGGUCUCGUACCGGCGACGUAUCUUUCAAAUGUCUGCCUUAUCAACUGUCGACGGUAGGUUCGACGCCUACCGUGGUGGUAACGGGUAACGGGGAAUCAGGGUUCGAUUCCGGAGAGGGAGCCUGAGAAACGGCUACCACAUCCAAGGAAGGCAGCAGGCGCGCAAAUUACCCACUCCCAGUUCGGGGAGGUAGUGACGAAAAAUAACGAUACGGGACUCAUUUGAGGCCCCGUAAUCGGAAUGAGUACACUUUAAAACCUUGGUCAC